GAAAUCUAAAGACUCCCUGACCCAAAGGGUUGAUAAUGUAAAGUAAUCAAUAUAGCAGCUCAAUGCCCUGCCCUACAUUUCAGCAGGUACAGGUAAUUCAGGUUCUCCAGCUGUUCAAAUGCCUCCUCUGGAAGCCCUUCAAACAACAGGAAUGAUUUACAGUCAACGCCCUUUGUGAAUGAGAAUGCUAGAGGGACUUUUUGUCUCCCAAAAGGAUAGCUAUAAUUUUCUUUUAAAGCAAUUGAGGAGCUGGAACAAGGAGCGGAAUAAAGACCAUGUGACUGGGCAGUGCCAUACCAACUACAGUUUGAGAACCAUGGCAUUAUUGUUUCAACUUGUCUCAAGAAUGGAUACCCCGGGACCCCUGUGGCUGCAGGCGUAGCAGCAUCAGCUGAACUAGCCCUGGCUACUGUAAGGAUUCAGCAUUGGAGACAAUGUGAUCUAGGGUCUACUGCAUGUUCCAGCCAGUUCCAAACAGGAGAGGUCAUGGAACAGCCUUUCUGGGACAGCUAGCUCGUAUUGAUACUGCUCCUUCAAGAUCCAAACAUGAUGGGUUGUCGCCCUUAAUAUGACAUAAUUACUCCAUUCAGCUCUGACAAUCAGUGCUUCUCUUUUGAGUUCGGAAACAAGAAUAUCUCAUAGCCAGGUUUUCAGAUGGUGUGAACUGGGAGACCAGCUGUUUUCGAGCAAGUCAGAAUCUGGCCCUCAGACGCAUUGGGGUUGUCUCUGUUGCAAUUAAACACCCAUGGCUGGCCCGGGUCAGCUGUCUA